AUAUGAGUAUUCUGCCUAAAUGUGGUGUACGGAUACAUUUAGGCAGAGCACUCGUACAG
rnacentral:pre_miRNA from 1 species